GUUGAACCGCCGCAGGUGGACGCCCUGAGCCGUUGAGGCCCUCGGACGCCAGUGGAGGAAGAAGGACUCUGAGGCGCAGGUCCACGGUGGCCCCAGCUGCCUUUUGCGACGCCACCACGGGUUUCAGGAACAGUAGAGGUGGUUCGGGUUGGUUAUUCCCAGACCUGGUAGUGCCUCGGUCGAGGGGCUGACUAGGCCGGGCCCUAAUCUGGUCUCGAGGUCUGCGUGCCCCUCGUCCUGGAGAAGCAGAAAUGUAGACGCCAGAAAGAGCCGGUGCUGGCCGUGGGGCCUUUGAAGAAUGUGCAAAAUGUGGAAAUGCCACAUCUCUGAAGGCAACAAUGCUUGGCUGCUUGCCUAAGGAGAGAAGCAGGUUAUGUACCAAACAAAGACGUGCAGAAACAGAAAGAGAACAUGCUAAGGAAAAGGAUUUAGAAAAUUGUACAGUGAUGCCUUGAACUUUGUACGAGUCAGUGGAGUAUGAAUUACACAGACAAGUGUGAUCAAAUAUUUGAUGGAAACUUCCUGAUGCAGAUAACCUGGUAAUGAUGGAAAUGUGGAAAAAACAACUUGCAGGAAGAUUACUACUUCUGUGUCAAGUAUUUUCUGCAUAAAAUACUUGAAUACUUUCAGUUUCAAAAUUGAAGAUUACUCAGAAGCUUCUUGCCAUACAGAAAAAAAAAAUGAUGCUGCAAAGUUUUACCAGUCCUAUUUAUGAUAAAGUGAGAAUAAAACCAGUGAAUGGUAUGUAUAAAGAAAUUUGGUUUGAGAGUGACAGAAGACAUUAUCAACUCACAGGAAGCACAGUAAGAUUUGCAAAUGACUAGAAAAUCUCACAACCUUCCAAACCAGUUCUGGUAAUCCAGAGGACACACAGGUGAAUUGGAGAGUCCACAGAAUCCUGAUUUGCAUGGUGGUGACAAUGUGCUCAGCUAAAAAAUCACGUUGUCCACCCUCCGCCACUGAUAAGGAUGACAGGGUGAUGCAGUUCUUGUCAUGAGGUAUAACUAACGGUAGGGCAGGGUUUCUAGUAAAGUUCCUUAAAAGAGAGCUUUAAGGCGUGGCCUUAGACAUUUGCCCUAUUGCCCUAAUAUCUUCCCCUUCUUUCUACCUGCAUCUUAGAGGAGAUGCUGGGCAUAGAACAGACAUCUAGCAACAAGAUGACCAUAGGAGGAAAGCCAAGCAAAUAACUUGGGGUCACAUCUGAAAAGGCUGGAUUAACAAGCAGAUAGGUGUUAUGUGUGAAUUUGGACAGACUUCAUAAUUUCUGUGCCCUGCCACCACACUUACCACCUUAGGGUUGGGGAGAAAAGUCCUUUUGUCACAACAUAUCCAUAAGGCUCACAUAUCUCUAACAUCAUUUACAGUAAGACUGUGUUGCCAUAAUUUACUCUCACCAUCUGAGACCUAGACUUCUUUUUCCUCUAAAUCCAUUAAAAGUAAUUAUUUGGCCUCUUAAACCCAAGUUCAGAAGAUAACAUUAGUGGGAGGUCUAAGAUCCUCCAGUGGAGUGGUAGCACACAGUUUGAAAGAAGUUCAAUAGAUAGAAAGUUAGUCGAUUUUGAGAAUUAGAUUUUCAAAAGAAGAUUAAUAUCCAUAGGCACUGGGUUUUAAAAUGGUAAUAUAAACAUACCAUGAGGUGGUCCUACAACACAUUACCAGUUUUAAACGUAUAUAUUUGUAUUUUAAGUUUUAUGGAGGUAAAUUACUUUCCUUUUAGAUUCCUAUGUGUUAUCAACCAGCUAUUUGUGUUUCAUAUUUUUAAUAGUGGAACAUUAGAACAGAUUUAAGAUCUCCAAAUAUAAAAAGUUAUUGUGACAACUUAUAAAGUUCCCCCAAAAUUUGUGUAUUAAGAAUUGUAGUUAUAAAAUUGUAUCUAUAAAUGUUUCAGUUUGUAGAAAGAUAAUUUCUGUGUGUACAUGUAUGUUCUCUAGGAAGAUAUUGUAUCAAGUUGUUAGUUUCUUUCUAGAUAAAUAAGAUGAUAGCUUUUUAGUGUUAUCCAAUUUUUCUGUAGUAAGUUUACUUUUUUCAUAAGAACAAUUUUUUUAAGAUAAGGAAAGCUUCCUCAUGAUAGAUAGUUAACAAGAGAAGCAGAAGAAUGUUGCUGAGAAAUGAAGAGCAGGAAGAAAUCAGAAACUGCAGGAACUGAGGGGCAUUUACUUCUGUUGCUGAGACAGCAUAAGAGCUUCGAUGACUGAGAUUGCUGAGGCUCAAGAACUGCUCCUGAGUUGCCGUGGGAUCUGCGUGGCGAGGAGAUGAGCCCUGACUGUAAUGCCAGGGAUGCUCCUUCUUGUCUGUUUUUACUUCUUCAUGUUACCUUCUCCCAUCCCAUGUUAACGUGCCUCUCUGAUCCUUCAAAACUGUACUUUCAUUUAUUCAAUAAACACUAGAAUCCAGAUUAUAUG